rnacentral:rRNA from 1 species
AUUGAACGCUGGCGGCAGGCCUAACACAUGCAAGUCGAGCGGAUGAAGGGAGAUUGCUCCUGGAUUCAGCGGCGGACGGGCGAGUAAUGCCUAGGAAUCUGCCUGGUAGUUGGGGAUAACGUCCGGAAACGGGCGCUAAUACCGCAUACGUCCAGAGGGAGAAAGUGGGGGAUCUUCGGACCUCACGCUAUCAGAUGAGCCUAGGUCGGAUUAGCUAGUUGGUUGGGUAAAGGCCUACCAAGGCGACGAUCCGUAACUGGCCUGAGAGGAUGAUCAGUCACACUGGAACUGAGACACGGUCCAGACUCCUACGGGAGGCAGCAGUGGGGAAUAUUGGACAAUGGGCGAAAGCCUGAUCCAGCCAUGCCGCGUGUGUGAAGAAGGUCUUCGGAUUGUAAAGCACUUUAAGUUGGGAAGAAGAGCAGUAAGUUAAUACCUUGCUGUUUUGACGUUACCAACAGAAUAAGCACCGGCUAACUUCGUG